rnacentral:SRP_RNA from 2 species
GGGAGGUUGGCGCAGGCGUAUCGCUCGCCAACCGGGUCAGGUCCGGAAGGAAGCAGCCCUAACGAAUCCGAUGCGGGUUGCUGUCCAGCCUCUCACU